UACGAAGGGGGCUAGCGUUGUUCGGAAUCACUGGGCGUAAAGCGCGCGUAGGCGGAUUGUUAAGUCGGGGGUGAAAUCCCGAGGCUCAACCUCGGAACUGCCUUCGAUACUGGCGAUCUUGAGUCCGGGAGAGGUGAGUGGAACUCCGAGUGUAGAGGUGAAAUUCGUAGAUAUUCGGAAGAACACCAGUGGCGAAGGCGGCUCACUGGCCCGGUACUGACGCUGAGGUGCGAAAGCGUGGGGAGCAAACAGG
rnacentral:rRNA from 1 species